UCGCGGCCUAUCAGCUUGUUGGGGGGGUAAUGGCCUACCAAGGCUUCGACGGGUAGCCGGCCUGAGAGGGUGACCGGCCACACUGGGACUGAGACACGGCCCAGACUCCUACGGGAGGCAGCAGUGGGGAAUAUUGGACAAUGGGCGAAAGCCUGAUCCAGCAACGCCGCGUGAGGGAUGACGGCCUUCGGGUUGUAAACCUCUUUCAGUACCGACGAAGCGCCUCUAGAGAUGGUGACGGUAGGUACAGAAGAAGGACCGGCCAACUACGUGCCAGCAGCCGCGGUAAUACGUAGGGUCCGAGCGUUGUCCGGAAUUAUUGGGCGUAAAGGGCCCGUAGGCGGUCUGUUGCGUCGGGAGUGAAAUCUUACAGCUUAACUGUGAACUUGCUUUCGAUACGGGCAGACUUGAGGCAUUCAGGGGAGAACGGAAUUCCUGGUGUAGCGGUGAAAUGCGCAGAUAUCAGGAGGAACACCGGUGGCGAAGGCGGUUCUCUGGGAAUGUCCUGACGCUGAGGAGCGAAAGUGUGGGGAGCGAACAGGAUUAGAUACCCUGGUAGUCCACACCGUAAACGUUGGGCGCUAGGUGUGGGGCCUAUUCCAUGGGUUCCGUGCCGCAGCUAACGCAUUAAGCGCCCCGCCUGGGGAGUACGGA
rnacentral:rRNA from 1 species